rnacentral:rRNA from 1 species
CCAAUAGCGUAUAUUAAAGUUGUUGCAGUUAAAAAGCUCGUAGUUGAACUUCGGGGUCUACCCAUUGGUCAGGCUUAAUUGUCUGCACUGGUGAGAUGGAUCUCUACCUUCUGAGGAACUCUCAUGCCAUUUAUUUGGUGUGAUUGGAAAUCAGGACUGUUACUUUGAAAAAAUUAGAGUGUUUAAAGCAGACUAUCGUCUGAAUACAUUAGCAUGGAAUAAUGAAAUAGGACGGACUGAUUCUAUUUCGUUGGUUUCUAGGAUCACCGUAAUGAUUAAUAGGGAUAGUUGGGGGCAUUAGUAUUCAAUUGUCAGAGGUGAAAUUCUUGGAUUUAUUGAAGACUAACUACUGCGAAAGCAUUUGCCAAGGAUGUUUUCAUUAAUCAAGAACGAAAGUUAGGGGAUCGAAGACGAUCAGAUACCGUCGUAGUCUUAACCAUAAACUAUGCCGACUAGGGAUCGGACGAAGUUAAUUUUAUAAUGACGCGUUCGGCACCUUACG